GCGAGAGCAGAGAACAGGAGUGCAGCAGUUUAGUGAAAGGAACAGGAAAGGUGAAGAAGAGGUGAGCAUCCAAAAGACGAGCAAGAGGACAGUUCCAAAGGAGACGUGACGGCACAAUAAAAGCUAGAGAAACUCACCUGAUGUAGUGGUAAUGCGUUAUUCACCACUAGAUGGAGACAACCUGGCACAGGCCUCCUCCUGCUUCACUGCCAUAAAUCCAUCACCAGAGGGCUCCACUGACCUGCCUGUUGACAUCAGACCACACCCCUGUGUCAUGUGACCUGGCUGGAGUUGCAAAGCUGGACUCAGACCUGGCCCAGGCAAGUUCAAAG